GGUAGAUGAUUGGGGUGAAGUCGUAACAAGGUAGCCGUAUCGGAAGGUGCGGCUGGAUCACCUCCUUU
rnacentral:rRNA from 1 species